rnacentral:rRNA from 1 species
AUGCAAGUCGAGCGCGCCUUCGGGUGAGCGGCGGACGGGUUAGUAACGCGUGGGAACGUGCCCUUCUCUACGGAAUAGCCUCUGGAAACGGAGAGUAAUACCGUAUACGCCCUUUGGGGGAAAGAUUUAUCGGAGAAGGAUCGGCCCGCGUUAGAUUAGGUAGUUGGUGGUAACACAGGUGCUGCAUGGCUGUCGUCAGCUCGUGUCGUGAGAUGUUGGGUUAAGUCCCGCAACGAGCGCAACCCUUGUCAUUAGUUGCUACAUUUAGUUGGGCACUCUAAUGAGACUGCCGGUGACAAACCGGAGGAAGGUGGGGAUGACGUCAAGUCCUCAUGGCCCUUAUGGGUAGGGCUACACACGUCAUACAAUGGCUGGUACAAAGGGUUGCCAACCCGCGAGGGGGAGCUAAUCCCAUAAAGCCAGUCGUAGUCCGGAUCGUAGUCUGCAACUCGACUGCGUGAAGUCGGAAUCGCUAGUAAUCGUGGAUCAGAAUGUCACGGUGAAUACGUUCCCGGGUCUUGUACACACCGCCCGUCACACCAUGGGAGCGGGUCUCGCCAGAAGUAGUUAGCCUAACCGCAAGGGGGGCGAUUACCACGGCGGGGUUCGUGACUGGGGUGAAGUCGUAACAAGGUAGCCGUAUCGGAAGGUGUGGCUGGAUCACCUCCUUAAGGGC